UCGAAAAUGUUGUCUCUCUUGAGUGGAUCCUGAGUACGACGGAGCACGUGAAAUUCCGUCGGAAUCUGGGAGGACCAUCUCCUAAGGCUAAAUACUCUCUAGUGACCGAUAGUGAACCAGUACCGUGAGGGAAAGGUGAAAAGCACCCCGGAAGGGGAGUGAAAUAGAACCUGAAACCGUGUGCUUACAAGUAGUCAGAGCCCGUUAAUGGGUGAUGGCGUGCCUUUUGUAGAAUGAACCGGCGAGUUACGAUUUGAUGCAAGGUUAAGCAGUAAAUGUGGAGCCGUAGCGAAAGCGAGUCUGAAUAGGGCGUUUAGUAUUUGGUCGUAGACCCGAAACCAGGUGAUCUACCCUUGGUCAGGUUGAAGUUCAGGUAACACUGAAUGGAGGACCGAACCGACUUACGUUGAAAAGUGAGCGGAUGAACUGAGGGUAGCGGAGAAAUUCCAAUCGAACCUGGAGAUAGCUGGUUCUCUCCGAAAUAGCUUUAGGGCUAGCCUCAAGUGAUGAUUAUUGGAGGUAGAGCACUGUUUGGACGAGGGGCCCCUCUCGGGUUACCGAAUUCAGACAAACUCCGAAUGCCAAUUAAUUUAACUUGGGAGUC
rnacentral:rRNA from 1 species